rnacentral:rRNA from 1 species
AGCAGCCGCCGCGGUAAUACGCAGGGUGCAAGCGUUAAUCGGAGUUACUGGGCGUAAAGCGUGCGCAGGCGGUUAUAUAAGUCAGAUGUGAAAUCCCCGGGCUCAACCUGGGAACUGCAUUUGAGACUGUAUGGCUAGAGUGUGUCAGAGGGGGGUAGAAUUCCACGUGUAGCAGUGAAAUGCGUAGAGAUCGGGAGGAACAUCAGUGGCGAAGGCGGCCAUCUGGGACAACACUGACGCUGAGGCACGAAAGCGUGUGGAGCAAACAGGAUUAGAUACCCCUGUAGUCCCUGUCUCUUAUAC